rnacentral:lncRNA from 1 species
GAUAGGAAAAGUCUGAAUUAGCAAGGAGACAAGACCAGUGGUACUGAUAGUGAGGUGUUCUUUCAGCCAGGACCAGGGCCUUCCUGCUCCAGCGAAGCUCAUCCACCUGUGGGUCAAGCAACUCCAUCUGUCCUCAGGACGCUUUUUGAACACUGGCUCACUUCAGAGCCAUAAAUGCCUAGAUUUAUGAAUACAAGACAAGCAGCCCCAAGAGAAAAAUCAGUGAAGGAUAUGAAGAACAGUGCAUGGGAGAGCAAGCCUCAAUGAUCAAGAUGAGAAGAUGCUCAAAAGGGAAAUUCAGUCCACAAAAGCAAAGAGAUGACCCUCCCUAUCUGCCACACUGGCCAAAAAUAAAGAGGUCGAAAUAUUUGUAGCAUUAUGUCUAGAGCAAAACGUGAUAUAAAGUGAAAAGUGG